ensembl:lncRNA
CUCUCCUGUCUUCUCAUUUUCUCGCUUACUCUCUCCAUCAACUCAACCUCUACACACUCACCACCCACCAAUGCACCCCACCUCCCCCCGCACAAUAACAUAUUCAUCUCAUUUCAGUCCCUCACCCUCUCAUCUCCUCCCCUGCUCUGUCUAAUGCCCCCCUCUCUCCUUCUCCAAUUCUUUAUUUUUUUUCAAUAAAUCCUGCCACCAGCUCUGGUCUCUACCAUGCCAGAGGAUAAAGACCACUUUGUUUUAAUUUUUGGCGGGGAUACAGCAGUUGACAAAAAAAACGCCCCUGCUCCCCGGGGGUAAGGGGGGGACGCUGUGGAACAAAGGGUGUCCCCUGCUGGAAGGAGCGAAUUGGAUGAAAUCAAGUUCACGCUAUUCCUGAAAAGCUUGCCCAACGUUUACUCGUGUCUGGCCUCUAUGUCGGACAAGAUGCUCAGGACCAACGAUCAUACAGGAUGAUACGACGCGACGUACUGUCUGGGCCAAGUACUUCAAGUGCUGGCAGCUCCACAUCCAAAACCCCAUCAGCACACCUGGUCUACCUUGAUGUUUGUAUAUUUCUGCAAUAAGGGCAUCAAUGUUGUAAUGCUUGAAAAAUAACCUUGUUAAGUUACCUGUAUUCUAUGUUCUCAUGAAUAGUUUUUUUUUGAAGUAAAACUCUUGAAAGUAGAUCAUAUAUGUGGCUAUAACCCAGACAGAGGCCGGAAGUUGUAUCGUGCACCUGACAAUGCUCUGAUGAUGCUGAUGCCUCCAUCGUGUCUGCAGCACUAAAUGAGGCAACAGAGUCCUCCUUUGAGGUGAGGGCUGAGGACACAUUCGUCCAGGUUAUGCUGGUCCAUCAUAGGGCAAACCACCCGGUCUUCCUCACGACAGCAAAAGAUACAUCUUAUGAUGUCGGAAAGAUUCGAGAGUGUAACCCUAACCCUAACCCUAACCCGGAGAGGUACCGUCAUACCUUAUAUUCCUACAUAGCUUCUCUGACUGUGAUACCGUAUCAGCAAUUUCUGGGUUUAACAAACCACCUUUGCUCAGCAAGCUCUGCAAGACUGACAAAUCAGAGCGGGCCAUGGAUGUGUUCAGUGUCAUCAGAGCCAAGAAAGUGACAUCAUCAAUGCUGGCUAUGAGGCACUUUCAGAUGCUGCUGUAAAAAGCAAGGAGUCAAAUGUAUUUAUUCUUGUGGGAUCUGUCAUGGUAACAGAACAUCAACCAGCCAGAUGAUAAUAGUAGUGAGGUAGAUGCAGGGGAGUUGGAUGAGGUUUGUUAAAAC